rnacentral:rRNA from 1 species
GAUGAACGCUGGCGGCGUGCCUAAUACAUGCAAGUCGAGCGAACAGACGAGGAGCUUGCUCCUCUGACGUUAGCGGCGGACGGGUGAGUAACACGUGGAUAACCUACCUAUAAGACUGGGAUAACUUCGGGAAACCGGAGCUAAUACCGGAUAAUAUAUUGAACCGCAUGGUUCAAUAGUGAAAGACGGUUUUGCUGUCACUUAUAGAUGGAUCCGCGCCGCAUUAGCUAGUUGGUAAGGUAACGGCUUACCAAGGCAACGAUGCGUAGCCGACCUGAGAGGGUGAUCAGCCACACUGGAACUGAGACACGGUCCAGACUCCUACGGGAGGCAGCAGUAGGGAAUCUUCCGCAAUGGGCGAAAGCCUGACGGAGCAAAGCCGCGUGAGUGAAGAAGGUCUUCGGGUUGUAAAACCCUGUUAUUAGGGAAGAAAAAAAGUGGAAUUAAACAUGGCCGUCUUGACGGUACCUAAACAAAAAGCCACGGCUAACUUCGUG